rnacentral:lncRNA from 1 species
UUGAGAGCCGGACAAGUACAUAUAGGAAAGUCCCUGUGAGCUCUCUGUGGACUAGGCACCCUGUCAUGUAUGUGAAAGUCCUGUGUGAGCUUCCUUGGGGGAGCCGGGCACCGACAGAGGGAUUUUUGAGGUCAUGUCCAAUCCUUGAGAGUAAAGGAUGCUAGCAAAGAAAGAAACUCUCAAAAACAGUCCGUGGGGAAUAUUUAUUUGCAUGAACCCCGAGACGGACAAG